rnacentral:pre_miRNA from 1 species
CUUUACGGAUGAGCAAAGAAAGUGGUUUCUUGAGAUGGAAUCUACUCCUGGUAAAGAUACUGUGAA